rnacentral:tRNA from 1 species
AGACAGUUAGUAUAACAAAUAAUACGUUAGUUUGUCGUGCUAAAGACACUUUUAUAUGAGUACUGUCUU